rnacentral:tRNA from 1 species
GCCACCCUAGCUCAGCUGGUAGAGCAACGCACUCGUAAUGCGUAGGUCGGCGGUUCGAUCCCGCUGGGUGGCCCCA